UACGGAGGGCGCAAGCGUUGUUCGGAAUCAUUGGGCGUAAAGCGCGUGCAGGCGGCUUGGUAAGUCGGGUGUGAAAGCCCGGGGCUCAACCCCGGAACUGCACCCGAUACUGCCUCGCUAGAGUCCCGGAGAGGAUGGCGGAAUUUCCGGUGUAGAGGUGAAAUUCGUAGAUAUCGGAAGGAACACCAGCGGCGAAGGCGGCCAUCUGGACGGUGACUGACGCUCAGACGCGAAAGCGUGGGGAGCAAAU
rnacentral:rRNA from 1 species